rnacentral:lncRNA from 1 species
AGAUGAAUAAAGUUUAAAACAAAUAAUAUAUUAAAUAUAUGAUAAUUAUACUCGAUGAAUUUGAGAUCUAAAAACUAUAUUAUUAAAUCACCCUUUUCUAUUCUCCAAUUUAUCAUCUAUUGCUGCCCUUUGUAAUCAUGACUUCUUCUAUCAUCAUUCAUUGCUCUUCUUUCUCAUCCCCGCAAACAAACACAAAACCACACCUAUCUCUCUUUUUUCAUCUUCAUUUCAACUUUCUCACCUUUCAGAGAUAAAAAGGUAUGUGCUCUUUCUCUUCGAAAAAACCACCAUAUCUUCCUCUUCUUUUUGCGCUUCACCCUCCGUGUUCUUCCGCGACACACCACCACC